AAAAAAAAAGUAAUGUCUGGGAAACUGCCUGAUGGAGGGGGAUAACUACUGGAAACGGUAGCUAAUACCGCAUAACGUCGCAAGACCAAAGAGGGGGAACUUCGGGCCUCUUGCCCUCGGAUGUGCCCAGAUGGGAUUAGCUAGUAGGUUGGGUAACGGCUCACCUAGGCGACUAUCCCUAGCUGGUUUGAGAGGAUGACGCGCACAACUGGAACUGAGACAAGGUCCAGACUCCUACGGGAGGCAGCAGUGGGGAAUAUUGAACAAUGGGCGCAAGCCUGAUGCAGCCAUGCCGCUUGUAUGAAGAAGGCCUUUUGUUUUU
rnacentral:rRNA from 1 species